rnacentral:lncRNA from 1 species
AAGCAGCUUCUGAAGACAAAACCUUCAACAAGGAGCAAGGUUUCAGCCACAAAGAUGUGGGUUCUCCAGGCCUUGGCCAUCAUAUUGAGCAUCCAAGCAGGAGUACUUGACCUGGUGGAAGUGCCCCCCGAGGUGCGCAGUCUUCCUGUUGCUCUUCCUGCUCCGGUCAAUCUCCCUGCAGUUCUCCCAGGUUCUCCAGGCCUCAAUGAUCCAGCCAAAAAUCGCAUGCUACCUCCCAAAAGGCCUGGAGCUCCUUCCAGAGGUGGAAAGUGUGCACCUGCAGCCAGAUACUUCC